GAAGAACGUUCGAAACCUAAAAGAGUAGGCGAGAAAUCCCCGGAUGUCCUACUGCUUCAGCCCAGAUUCUGGAGUGUGCAUCCAAAGGACACUUUUCUAUCCCAGGAGUCCACGGGAGAGCAACACGUCAUUAUCGAACGUGAUUGAGAACCGUGACAAGGGUGUUUACAAAUCGACAGAUGAGACACACGUGUGUUUAUCCGGUGAAGAGUGACUGAUGAAGGAGUGCUGCCAUCAAAGGCUUUCAAUCUUUUGUGGUGGAGCAGGUGACGGCAGUGUUUGUGGGAAGAAAGAAAGACCUGAAACAAAAAUAUAAAGUAAGAUCAUUUUGUUACUGUAAUACAGAAAUAAAAAAAAAAAUCAAAUUAUUGUAAAAACCAAAAAAAAAAGUUAAAAUGAAUGCUUUUGUAUUAUAUUUGUGCUUCUUGUAUGAUCUGAAAUGUCUGCAGACUGGUGUGAGCAGUGAGAAAGGAGAAAUCCACAGCAGCAUCCUGGAAAUGUGGUUUAGCCCACUACAAAAGUAAUAGAGCUACAACAAAAAUUAGCAUGUAGUCGAGCAGACGCGGUGAUGGCCAGAUUGUCCCGCACAUGUUCUUCUGCUCUUGCCUCAAGGUUGUGGGGUUCAGUGGUGUGUCUUCAUGGUCUUUCUCAUCCUCUGGCUCAACAACAUCCCUAUUGAGAAGAGUGAGAUUGUGAAGCGCAGCAGCAGAAUUGGCACAGCUGCAUUGAGGUGGCAAUAGGAUGUGGUGUUCACCAACUGUAAAUACAUGAUUGUUAGAUCAAUAAGUUUGAAUAAAGCUGUUUCAUCUGUUGUUGACUUGUAUAUUUAUGUAUUUAUUAUGAUGCUUUUAUUCCUUCUUUUACUCAUUUAUUCAUGUUUUCUAUUGUUGUCAAUAAAUAAAACAUACAUAUUUUGUUAACUAAUGCAUUAAUGCAGUGCUUAACUGAAAAUUGAUGGAUUCAAAUCAGCUGCAUUUGUCGAGUGUAUAUUCAUGCAUAGCUAUGUCAAAAAAAGUUAUAUAAUUAAUAAUUGGUUAGCAUGUAUCUUUAUUAUUCUGUGUAAAUGUUGGGUGGGCUAGCAAUGCAGUUCAUUAUGGUGUUAUCUUAAUUUUUAAGUAGUAACACUUACAUUUUUCAAAUGUAAAAUCACCAGUCUCCAAAUGCGAGAUGUUCCAGCAGCUGCCUGAUGUCUCCUGUGUGCAGACAAUGCAAACGUAGAGGUGUGUUUUAACUGUACUUGGUAGGUAGGGCUGUUGAGUUACUGAUGCUAUGAGGUGUUAGUGCACCUGUCACUCUUUUCAUUAUUAUUAUUAUUAUUAUAUUAUUUCUGAACUUAGAAUUACAUAUAAGAUCUGGAAAAUACGGUUGUACCGAACAAUGGACAACUGUAAUGACAAAAAAAAAAAAAACAGAAAACAAAUAUCAUGCAUUCAUCAUGGUAUGAGAUUAUAUACACAGAAAAAAAACAACAUAAUAACAAGGUUAAAUAUCUAAAUAAUUCACCACGGUGCUUUUUUUAGAAGCCUGGUGGAUGAAACGACAGUUAAAUUCAACAAGAAAAAAGAAAAGAAAACAACGGAGAUUAAGCCAGUUAACUUAAGCCACUUAAGCCAAUUUUACACAUAAAAUGAAGAAAUUAGCUACAUAUUAAAGAGAACGAUUUCAUCUUAUAAGUUUUCUUAUAAAAUUG